rnacentral:rRNA from 1 species
AAUUGGAGGGCAAGUCUGGUGCCAGCAGCCGCGGUAAUUCCAGCUCCAAUAGCGUAUAUUAAAGUUGUUGCAGUUAAAAAGCUCGUAGUUGAAUUUCGGGAUCAAUAUUUCGGUCAUGCCGUUGGUAUGCACUGUUAUCAUUGAUUUCUCACCUUCUAAAGAACCGUAAUGCCAUUAAUUUGGUGUUACGGGGAAUUAGGACUGUUACCUUGAAAAAAUUAGAGUGUUUAAAGCAGGCUCACGCUUGAAUACAUUAGCAUGGAAUAAUGAAAUAGGACAUCUGAUUCUAUUUUGUUGGUUUCUAGGAUCGAUGUAAUGAUUAAUAGGGAUAGUUGGGGGCAUUAGUAUUCAAUUGUCAGAGGUGAAAUUCUUGGAUUUAUUGAAGACUAACUACUGCGAAAGCAUUUGCCAAGGAUGUUUUCAUUAAUCAAGAACGAAAGUUAGGGGAUCGAAGACGAUCAGAUACCGUCGUAGUCUUAACCAUAAACUAUGCCGACUAGGGAUCGGAUGAUGUUAAUUUUUUAAUGACUCAUUCGGCGCCUUACGGGAAACCAAAGUGU